GCGCAGGUGAUAGAUAAUUCGCGCGGUCACGAAUCUGUCUGUCCUGGUUUGAUACACCAGCGGUCGGGGGUUCGAAACCCUCUUCGCGCA
rnacentral:tRNA from 1 species